UACGUAGGGACCAAGCGUUGUUCGGAUUUACUGGGCGUAAAGGGCGCGUAGGCGGCAUGACAAGUCACUUGUGAAAUCUCCGGGCUUAACCCGGAACGGCCAAGUGAUACUGUCGCGCUAGAGUGCGGAAGGGGCAAUCGGAAUUCUCGGUGUAGCGGUGAAAUGCGUAGAUAUCGAGAGGAACACCUGAGGUGAAGACGGGUUGCUGGGCCGACACUGACGCUGAGUGCGCGAAAGCCAGGGGAGCAAACGGG
rnacentral:rRNA from 1 species